UACGUAGGGCGCAAGCGUUGUCCGGAAUUAUUGGGCGUAAAGGGCGCGUAGGCGGCUUUGCAAGUGGCGGGUGAAAUCCCUCGGCUUAACCGAGGAACUGCCUGCCAGACUGUGAGGCUUGAGACCGGGAGAGGUGAGUGGAAUUCCCAGUGUAGCGGUGAAAUGCGUAGAUAUUGGGAGGAACACCAGUGGCGAAGGCGGCUCACUGGACCGGAACUGACGCUGAUGCGCGAAAGCGUGGGGAGCAAACAGG
rnacentral:rRNA from 1 species